UACGUAGGGGGCAAGCGUUGUCCGGAUUUAUUGGGCGUAAAGAGCGUGUAGGCGGCCAGGUAGGUCUGCCGUGAAAACUCGAGGCUUAACCUCGAGCUGUCGGCGGAAACCAUCUGGCUAGAGUCCGGAAGAGGAGAAUGGAAUUCCCGGUGUAGCGGUGAAAUGCGCAGAUAUCGGGAAGAACACCCGUGGCGAAGGCGGUUCUCUGGGACGGUACUGACGCUGAGACGCGAAAGCGUGGGGAGCGAACAGG
rnacentral:rRNA from 1 species